UCCUUUUUUUGUUUUUGUUUUUAGAGAUCAUGUGCAACUGGGGGAGGGGCAGAGAGAGGGAGAGAAUCCCAAGCAGGCUCCAUGCUGUCGGCGCUGAGCCUGUUGGGCUCCAUCCCAUGAAACGUGAGAACAUGAACUGAAACCGAGUCGAUGCCUGAACAACUGAACCCCCCUCCCCCCCAGGCUCCCCUAGGUUUCCUUUUACUCUAAUUUAUACAGUUGGAUGCUGUUACUCAUAGUAGCUUUGUUCUGGAAGUUCAUUAUGAACGCUGAAUCAGCAAGUGCUGAACCAUGGCUCCUGGGGAGAUCCCACGGAAGGUGCCUGUGAGUCUCUGGCCGCAACACUUGGCGUCAACCAAUCAAUAUGUAACUUUGUUUUAUGUCUCUCUGUUAAAGACCUCUUAAUACAUGUUGGUAAUUCAUUAAUCUUGAACUCAGGGCCAACAGCUGCAACACUUAAGUGAAGCUUGUCUAGUGCAUUUCCUCUGUAAGGCUUAGCAGCCUUCCUGCACUUAACACUAGCCAGCACUUCAGCACUAUGCUUAGGGGCAUUUCAGCACAAUCACCGACAGCACAAAGAUGGGAAAACUGUGGCGCAAAAUAGAGCCAAAGAAAAACACUGGUUUACAGUGCCAGAGCUGAGGCGCGGAGGCAGUGUCCCCUCUUUUGAUCUCAGCUGGGAACACGCACGUCAGACAAUUCAGAUCAUUGCACGUCUGCGGUGACGUGGGUUUGGGGUCACGAGCAAAUUUGCAACUGCAGACUCUAAUGAGGAUCCGCUGUGUGAUGUAAAUCGACCCUUUCAGUCCCGCUGUGCACAGACGCAGGUAGAUGGUUUGCCCAGCAGGGACCCUGUGGCCACAGUCCCACGCUGCCGGUUUCAGCAGCCUUGUGACUGGUCUGCUUCCGUUUCCUUCCUGUCCUUCAGUUCCCGGGACGGCAGCCACUGUGAUACCGCUUUGCUCGAGAUACCGCGGUGGCCGCCCUUCCUGCUCAGGUGUCCUGUGUCCAGCCCCACUGCUGCCCUCUCCUCCACCAGUGCGCCCUCCUCACACUGUGUGCGUCCGGGUGAGCCUGGCUGUCCCCUGAGAGACCAAGCCUCGUCCGCCCCAGGGCCUCUGUUCUUGCCAGUCCCUCUGCCUUGAGGAUACCCUUCCCUGGGAACGUCCGCAUAGCCUGCUCCCUCCUGUUCGAACGUCCUCCUCUUGGGUCUUGGGCUACGUCAGGAGCAGCCACUCCCCCACGCACUCCUCUCUCACCCUCCUGGGUGUUCCCCACGCCCUCGUCACCGUCCGGAGCGACUGCUUACAGUCCGUCUGCGCCGCUGGAAUGCAAGCUUCCGGAGCAGGGGCUUCGGCAGCUGCGUUCCGGUACCUGGAAGGGAAAUGGGCACGUAACUGUUAGGCUUCAAAUAAGGAUUGACGAAUGAGUGGUGGCCCUUGGUUCGCUGGAGUGAAAUCCUAAAAUGCACUCCUUUUCCAUCCAGAGCCGUGCAGCCAGCACCGGUCAGUUUCAGAACACUUUUGCGAACCCAAACAAGCCCCACACCGCUUUGUGGUCACCCCAGUCCUCCAGCCCCAGGCAGCCGCUGGUCUGCUCUCUGUGUGUGCACAUCGGCCUGUUGGGGACGUUUCAUGCGAUGCAGCUCUAGAAGCUGGUCUGCGGGCUUCUGGCAUCUUCCACGUGCUGUAGCGCUGCCAGGCUCACCGAUGCUGCGGCGAAUGUUGGAAAUCCACAGCUUACUAGAUAAGGGAAAUAAUAGCGGGAGUCUGUGUUUAUUAUUGCCGAAUAAAUGUCCCUCGUGUGAUUACA